rnacentral:lncRNA from 1 species
UCGAUAUUAUAUUAAUAAAUUUAAUUUCACAGUAACUGCUCCCGUGUUAGACUGGACCAUGCUCAAUCCUACCAAUCAUAACGAUACGGGUAGAAAUAAGAAAAGUUAUGGAUAAUAAUAUUAUAGCCGAACAGCCAAAAUCUAUAAAGGGUAAGUUAGUCAUAUCGAUAUUGAUAAAAUCCAGAUUCAAUGCAUAUCUAUCGGACUAGGCUUUCUUUUCGCCAAGGAAUCCCAAUGCAAUUAAUGCAUAAUCUUUUACUCUACCUGCCUAGAUAAACAGCUUCCUUCCCUCUAUCUCCUAUAUCCAUUUCUUUGUUUCCUUUCAUUUUCACACAUUCACUGUACCGUUUCCCUUAUAUUGAAAAUGUCCCAAAAAGCAAGUCGCCACCAAAGGAGGCCCUCACAAAGCGUGUUCAUGCUCCCAGAUGACCUUGCAGCUACUCUGCCGGGGGACAAGGCUGCUCCGCCGUCGAGUCAGGUUAUGCCACCGCUGAAACAAGGUCCUGGUUUGCCACCGGCGAAUAAGUCAUCGGAUGAAAUGUGUCAGGAUCCCAAGAGCAAGAAAGCAUUGGAUGGGGAAUCAAUGAAGGGUUAAGUUGCUAAGUAUUAUAUUAGUCUGGUUAUUACUGUUGUUGUGAUUUUUUAUGUACGGAUAAAAAUAAGAUAUAAAUUAAUGGAUGCAUCAAUGCAUAAGCGAUCAAAGUUUCCUAUAUAUAUAUAUAUAUAUUACCCACAUCAAAGUUCUCCCUUUUCUUUUUGCUUAAAAUAAUAAAAAGGAAAAAGAGUUUACGUUUAAAGAUCAAGUGAUGUAUCACGCGACUGGAUUAUAUCUUCUUUAUGAUUUUGGCUUAUCAUGACUCAAGAUCGACAAGUCAGUCACGCAUUAACCUCAUGCUUAUAACUUAUACUAAUAUAUUGGGUGAGGCCCUAGAAG